CUCAGACACGGGGAUGCUCGCAAUGCCUCUAUCAAAGACGCGUCGCACUGUGUUGUUAUGUGUUGUCAUAGUUAUUUCAUUGAAAAAUUAAUUUCACCGUUUCCGAAACACGCACCGAUUUCUGUCUGUGAAACACAACGUCUGAACAACUCCUCUUAAGUUUUGCCGAAAGAACUUAAAUAAUUUAGAGAAGCUAAAACUCACUUUCGAGCGAUCCUGAUUUCGAAAUUACGAGUAAGAAGACGACGAUUAAGAAGAAAAAAGAGAAAAUACAGAAAAUCAAGAAAAAUACGCGAAAAAGCACCAAAAAAAAGAGAAGAAACGAAAUUGCAACAAAAGCAUUGCCUUAAAGAAGCAGAGUACACCUACACUGUCGAAGAAACAAACGAGAGACACAGGGGGGGAAAGAAACAAACAAAAAAUAACACUUUAGACGCCUACAAAGUAAAUUGUAAAAAGAUAUGACUAAAGUAUAUUUUUAACAAGUUUUGAGAAACUUUAGAUUUUAAACGUAAAUUUAAAAAGCGAAAAAUGAAAAAAAACGAUAAAAUUCUUAAUAACUAAAAAUGUGAUCUAAAAGUCGUUGUUACCAAGAGAAGCCUUAUGUCCUUGUUUCAGUUAGUUCGGUUCCAAACCUUCGAGCGGGAGACGCGUUGCAGCGAGAGAUUCCCGCGCAGGAGAGGAAGACUGGACAAAGCGGAAGAAGCAGAAUAAGACGAGCAAAGCAGAAGCGGAGGAGCAGAAGAACGCAAGAAGAUCGAGAGCCGAACGAGUAAAAGCGGGGUUGCAAAGAAGAAAGUGAUUAGCGAGUUGAUCGCGCGAAAGACAUCGAGAAGGAAAAGAUCAAGAGCAGUUACGGAAGCGCAAAGAUACGGAAGAAGAAGAUCGAGAGGAAGAAAGAAAAGAGCGAGUAUCGGUAAAAAGCUCGAACAGCGAGAACCCCGCGUUGCAUACAUAUAUAUUUCAGUGUGUUCAAAAACGAGUGUACCUAAGUGCAAUAUUAAUUAAACCUAAACGAUAAUAAGAAGCAACCACAACUACCAUCGACGAUAUCGGUAACGACGAGCGGUGAUCGAUAAUCGAAUAGAAUUCCUUUUAAAGAGUUAAAACGCUAGAGUCGCAUUUCGAGGAGGAGUCAUCGACGGACGCGACGAAUCCGCUUUGGAAGAAGAGAAUCGGAGGAAGUAGGCGGAAGCAGAAACGGAGUGACGGAAAUCCCGGAAAUAAACGCUCUCGUCCCGCUUAAAAAGAAAUCACACACCGACUCAAAGACGCGCGCGGCAGCGGACACCAACUUUAUCUCGAAGCUGUUCCGAGCGCGUUUUCACACAUCACGCACCACACACAACACGCACGCACAUUCAACAUAACGGGGCUAAAAUACUCAGGGCAAAACGGGACGAGCGAUAAUCAUCCGCGAGUGCGAUUUCUCACCCCGAAGAGGAGCGAAAGCCCUUCCGACCGAUAUCCGAUUCGCGUCCGCGUGGACUAUCCUUCUCGUUCACACCGUCCGGGCUGGGCAAUCCUGAAUUUUAACCUGAACUUAAGUGUACGAUAGAGUUUAAGUUUAGAUAGACGAAGGAAAAUAGAUCGUUCUCCUAUUUGCUGGAGGACGUUCGCUCGCGCGCGCAACAACUCACGUGAAGCACACGCAUAAAAGCCACACCACACGUGUAAUAACCACA